ensembl:snoRNA
GGCUAUUUUAAAAAGAAUUUCAUGUGGACAAAGACUGACACAAAGGCGCAAAAAAUAAAUCCUCUUUUGCAACCCAGAAAUUGUUGAUCAGUAUGAAUUUUGAUAUAUGCAAGUAGGCAUAGG